rnacentral:rRNA from 1 species
AGUAGUCACGUAGUUGACUCCGUCGGCUACGAGAACGACGCUGGCGGCAUGCCUAACACAUGCAAGUCGAACGAGACCUUCGGGUCUAGUGGCGCACGGGUGCGUAACGCGUGGGAAUCUGCCCCUUGGUUCGGAAUAACAGCGAGAAAUUGCUGCUAAUACCGGAUAAUGACGUAAGUCCAAAGAUUUAUCGCCAAGGGAUGAGCCCGCGUAGGAUUAGCUAGUUGGUGUGGUAAAGGCGCACCAAGGCGACGAUCCUUAGCUGGUCUGAGAGGAUGAUCAGCCACACUGGGACUGAGACACGGCCCAGACUCCUACGGGAGGCAGCAGUGGGGAAUAUUGGACAAUGGGCGAAAGCCUGAUCCAGCAAUGCCGCGUGAGUGAUGAAGGCCUUCGGGUUGUAAAGCUCUUUUACUCGGGACGAUAAUGACGGUACCGAGAGAAUAAGCCCCGGCUAACUCCGUG